rnacentral:rRNA from 1 species
CAAGCGUUAUCCGGAUUUAUUGGGUUUAAAGGGUCCGCAGGCGGAACUUUAAGUCAGUGGUGAAAGCCUACAGCUUAACUGUAGAACUGCCAUUGAUACUGAAGUUCUUGAGUGUGGUUGAAGUGGGCGGAAUAUGUCAUGUAGCGGUGAAAUGCAUAGAUAUGACAUGGAACACCAAUUGCGAAAGCAGCUCACUAAACCAUUACUGACGCUCAUGGACGAAAGUGUGGGUAGCGAACAGGAUUAGAUACCCUGGUAGUCCACACCGUAAACUAUGAUCACUAGAUGUUGGCGAUAUAAUGUCAGUGUUAAAGAGAAAUCGUUAAGUGAUCCACCUGGGGAGUACGUUCGCAAGAAUGAAACUCAAAGGAAUUGACGGGGGCCCGCACAAGCGGUGGAGCAUGUGGUUUAAUUCGAUGAUACGCGAGGAACCUUACCAAGGCUUAAAUGUAAAACGACCGGUUGAGAAAUCAAUCUUUUUUCGAACGAUUUACAAGGUGCUGCAUGGUUGUCGUCAGCUCGUGCCGUGAGGUGUCGGGUUAAGUCCCAUAACGAGCGCAACCCCUAUUUUUAGUUACCAGCGAGUAAUGUCGGGAACUCUAAAGAAACUGCCCGUGCAAACGGAGAGGAAGGUGGGGAUGACGUCAAAUCAUCACGGCCCUUAUGUCUUGGGCUACACACGUGCUACAAUGGUUAUUACAAUGAGAUGCAAACUGGUGACAGUAAGCUAAUCUAUAAAAAUAACCUCAGUUCGGAUCGGAGUCUGCAACUCGACUCUGUGAAGUUGGAAUCGCUAGUAAUCGCACAUCAGCCAUGGUGCGGUGAAUACGUUCCCGGGCCUUGUACACACCGCCCGUCAAGCCAUGGAAGUUUGGAAUACUUAAAGUCAGUCACUGUAAAGAAC